rnacentral:rRNA from 1 species
AGACCGGGAUUAGAGACCCCGUUAUUAAUGAUGUAUUACUAUCUGCGGUAAGUACGAGCAGGAUGGGCUUAAAAACCAAAAGACUUGGCGGUGUGCUAUAUUCGUUCAGGGGAACUUGACGGUUAAAUCGAUACUCCUCGAAUACCUUACCCUUUUUAAACUUGCUAUACCGCCGUUGCCAGUUAAAAUUUUAAAAUUAAAGAAUUUUGCAAGAAAAGUAGUGGCUACUACUUUAGAAUUCAGGUAAACGUAGUGGUUAUAAAAGGGGCUUAGUUGAGUUACAUUAAGAUUUAGGGGAAAAAAGCUGUAAUGCUUCCGGAACUGGGACUUGACAGUAAGCCUUUACUAACCAAGGGGGGUUGAACUGUACAAUGGCGCGUGUACAAAUUGCCCGGUGCCCCCAGAUAAUAAAGCUGGGGUAAGCCGUAACAUGGUA